CGAAGGGUGCAAGCGUUACUCGGAAUUACUGGGCGUAAAGCGUGCGUAGGUGGUUUGUUAAGUCUGAUGUGAAAGCCCUGGGCUCAACCUGGGAAUGGCAUUGGAUACUGGCGGGCUAGAGUGCGGUAGAGGGUAGUGGAAUUCCCGGUGUAGCAGUGAAAUGCGUAGAGAUCGGGAGGAACAUCUGUGGCGAAGGCGACUACCUGGACCAGCACUGACACUGAGGCACGAAAGCGUGGGGAGCAAACAGGAUUAGAUACCCUGGUAGUCCACGCCCUAAACGAUGCGAACUGGAUGUUGGGAGCAAUUAGGCUCUCAGUAUCGAAGCUAACGCGUUAAGUUCGCCGCCUGGGGAGUACGGUCGCAAGACUAG
rnacentral:rRNA from 1 species